rnacentral:lncRNA from 1 species
AUGUUCACGAGCACGGCUCCACCCCACCCCAGCCAGACAAAUCCCUUCCCUCCUCCGACUCUGCUGAAUCAGGUUGGAAUUUCUCAAAAGCAAACAAACAGGCGAGCUCAGAGUUGCGGUUUUCAGAGCUCAGAUUCCUCCCGUCUGUCUGAGCCAGCAUCCAGCCCGGCCGGCCGCCCCCAGGCAGGCUGGACGGGGCCCCCAGCUGAGCCCCCCAGUCCCCGGCUGUUGGAGCGGAGUGGGGGUACCAGGCUCAGAGCUGACCCGCAGCACCGGGCCGCCCCACUUCCCUCUCGAGACCCCGCAAGCGAGGCAGGAGGCCGCGGACGGCGCCAAACACAAGGGACACCUGGCCUGGCCGGGAACCAGGAGGCCGAGAAGGGAAUCGGGGCCAGUCUGGCCCACACGUGGACAGCAGCGGUGAGCAGCAAGGCCGGUCCAAGCUGUUUCGGUAGGUGGCCUCAAAUGCUUCCACAAGAAGGUGGCACAUGGAUGGGGCUCAGCUCGCUCUGGUCAGCUGGAUCAGGGCUGAGAGCUGGGGAGUCAGCCUGCACUGGUGGGGGAAGGUGGAACUGGCCCCUUCAGCAGAGCGCCCAGAAGGUCCCCGAGGCCUCAGGUGUCGCUGCUCCCCUAAGCACCUCUGACAAGACCAAGACGACUGCUCAUCACUUUAGAGGAAAUGUUUGCGGAUUCUUCCCUACCAUCUGCUAAACCCAGCCACAGGCUGCCUUCAGGGGAGACUGCCCCUUCAGUCUGGGGAGCUGGAACGUGGAGCUACCCUAUAGAUGUCUGCAGGGCUGUCCCUGGGCGAAGGAAGCAGCCCGGGUCUAGGGGAGAAAUUUCUGGAAGGAGGUUUGUUGCUCCCAGAUGGAGAAGAGAAGUGAUGUUGUGCAGAGUGUCUGGGAGUCAAGCAAAGGAGGGGAGCAUUGGGAAGGGAGGAGGGGGCGGGGGACAUGGGGCCACUGCACUGGAUCUGAAGGGCAUUUUCCUGAUUCCAGCUUUGGGCUCCUGGCCUUCCUCCUGGGACCCUCGGCGGGAGUCUGUUCUCUGCCCGUCAGCUGCCCAGGGGCUGCCGACCUGGGGCCUGGAUGCUGAGGACCUUGGAGCCCACAUGUCCAUCGGCCCAGCGGGAGCCUGAGCCCUCCUCCCUCCCAGCCCAGGACUGGGGAAGUGAGGACUAACAAUGUUCUGGAUCAGGGCAUAAGGGCAGAGGUCUGAGGCUGGAGGACGUGUCCCAGGUCAGCCCAGGGGGGCCUCAGGGGCUAUUGUUGUGAGUAGCGGUCAUUGAUUGGUCGGUGCCCAGCAUUGUGUCAAUAAAUUGUACCUGUUAUAUACACACCUC